rnacentral:tRNA from 1 species
AGCUCAGUAGUAGAGCACAUGCUUAGUACGCCUGGGGUCCUGGGUUCAAUUCCCAG